AUGCAACAUGGGAGCUAUGAGUCUAGGGCUUACGCGGUUAUGCUAAUGAAAGACAUGUUUGAAGUAUCCACACCAACUUUACUUUUGAGUUUGAAACAAGAAUUCUUCACACAAGUUGUUCAAGUCUUGAGGGAUGAGAUCUCUCAAAAGGCUACAAAAGCAUCAUUGCAAGUGCUAGUGCACGCGUGUCCAUUUGGUAGGAACAGAGUGAAAGCAGCAGAAGCAGGAGCAAUUAGGGUUUUGGUUGAUCUUCUGCUCGAUUCAUCUGAGAAAAGGGUUUGUGAAUUGAUGCUAAUUUUACUAGAUCAACUUUGUCUGAGCGCAGAAGGGAGAGCUGAGCUAUUGAAUCAUCCUGGAGGAUUAGCCAUUGUGUCCAAGAAAAUACUUAGGGUUUCAAAAGUAGGGAGUGAAAGGGCAAUCAAGAUCUUACAUUCAAUCUCAAAGUUUUCAUCAACACCAAGUGUUGUUCAAGAGAUGUUGAGUUUGGGUGUGGUGGCAAAGCUUUGUUUGGUGCUUCAAGUUGAUUGUGGAAGUAAAUCUAAGGAAAGAGCUAGAGAAAUUCUCAAAUUUCAUGCUAAGGCAUGGAGUAAUUCUCCUUGUAUACCUAAUAAUUUACUAUCUUCAUAUCCAUUUUAGGAAUUAGGUAGAAAUGAGCAAAAAUUGCUUAGUAGUGGAUUGUUUUUGUGUACAUAAUUUAUUCUUUUCAGAAAAUAGAAAAAAAAAUGGACAAAAUGGUCCAUGAAAUUUAAUUGUUCAUACAUAUUUCCAUCCUCAACAUUUUGAUUCCCUUCUUAUUUUGUAGCUCCAAUAGCAAGUAUAGAGUGGAAAUUUUUGAGAUCUUAAUGCUCUAUUAUUUCAGUAAGAAGUCCAUUGAAUCCCAAAUUCGCGUGAGGUCCAACGAAGGAUAUCAGUUUAAUGGGAUAAUGAAGACAGUCUAUCCUAAUACAAAUAUAAUCAUUAGUAAUAAAUUUAUAAUCCAACCCGUAAACUAUAAAUACACAAAGAUAAUUUUAGCGUUAUUCCAGAACGUAACUCCCAUUCAUAGUAAAUAUUACGAAUACUAUAUACAUAGUCAAGAAUUAGUAUUAUGUGUCUUUGCACACAGGAUUAAAUUUGAAAUCAUUAUUUUUGAGAAAAUUCUUUAAUUUGGUGAGAACCAGGUAUUAGACUUUUCAUCAUCUAAAAAUUUACAAUAACAUUCAAAAUAAUCAGCUCUUAUUAAUUAUUUGAACUUUACUAGAAGUUAAAAUUUUGUGAUUGUGAUAUGAGUGCAACUAGUCCCAAUGAAAGAAACAAGUAGUAAUAAUUAGAUGAACUUUGAAGAUUGUUGGACUUCAAAUCUAAGCCAAUAAUAUGAUGAUUUUGAAUUUUUCAUAAAUUUCAAAGAAUAAUAUAAAAGAAUGUGUCAUCUUAUAAGUAAUCUCUAAUAGAUUGUUUUUUUUUUAACCCGGAGAGAGAAUUUACGAUUGGGAUAGACAUGCUAAUUUCGGUAGAUAGACACUAAAAUUUAUAUUAAACAGGUAGACAGACACAUCAUACGUGACAUAAUAUAAAUAAGUUCGAAUAUAUCUUACACGAAUUGCCACUAAAAUGAGUUGUCUACUUGUUCAACUUUAUAUAAGUUCAAGUGUCUAUUUGUGUACACAUAAAAUUGAAAGGCAUAAAAUAUCACCUGAGGUCAAGUUAGAUGGGUAUAUCUAUGUAUUAUACAUAUCUUGAUUAUUAUACAAGAAAAAAAUUGUGUUCUUGCAUUGUUAAUGUUUAUUCUAUUGCAAAACUAUCUAAUUAUACAAAUAUUUCAAUUAAAUUUACCAAGUCUUCUUACAAUUUGAAAAAAUUGUAUAUUGUCUCACUAAUUAAUAAUGUCAUAUUAGAUUUCAAGUCAAAUUUAUUUAAAUACAUGUAUUUUUAAUUGCUACCAGAUACAGAUACACUAAAAUAGGGAGAGAGGUGAGUGAGAGAAGGAGAGAGGUGAGAGCGAGAUAGGAGGGAGGCGAGCUAAACAAUAUAUGUAUCCUAGAUAUAUGUGAAUCACAAUAGAUACAUGUAUCUAGGAUACCCAGAUACAUAUUAAAAUCCAAAUACAUAGGAAGAGAGGAUAGCGAGAAAGGGAGAGAAGCAAGUGAGAUAGGAGAGAAGGAGCGAGAUAGGAGAGAUGCGAGAGAGUCAGACGAUAUAUGUGAAUCCACUUGAAUACAAUGUAUCUACAACAAAUUACUCCUAAUUUUGACCUAAUGUAUCUAGACACGUAAGAUACAUGUUCGAAGUUCAAAUUCUGAUAAGAUUCGUCAUAUUAAAAUCUUGUAUAAAAGAAAACAAUUUACUCUUAAACUAGUGUAAUUUGUGUUAAUUGGCCUUAUUCUAUUUAUACAUAGGCUUAGAUUAACUUGAAUAGGCAAGCAAAUAUGACGGAAUAUUGCAAGCAAUAUUAAACUAGAUAAAUUAAAAGGUUGAAUCAAUUAAAAAAAUACAAGGUGAUUGUUAGAUAUAGCUAUAACUCUAAAUUGAUUUGAGCUAAUUAUUUAUUUUUAAAAAUUACAUAAAUUGAAACCUAGUAAUCUAGUUGUUGCCAACUGUUUCUUUCUCUCACUAAUAAAUAAAACACGAGUUAUUUAUAAAUAAAAAGGAUACAUUCAUGUGUUUUAUUACUUUUAGAGAGAGAAAGUCAAAAGUGAGCUGUUUUUUUCUUCUUACGUACACACAUUUAGGCCACCGAAAAUACACAUAAUAGACUACCCCUUUUGAGCUAGUAAUGUUUCCUUCGUUUUAUUUUACUUGAUCUGUAUGUUAAAAAUUGAUAUUUUAUAUCUAUCUAACAAUUAAUAAAAUUUAUUACAUAAAAUAGAAACUGAUAAAUUUAAAAUUUCAAAAAAUAAUUAAUCAAGUUAGUUUAUAUGGCUACAACUUUGAUUAAAAAAAUUUCAAGGCGGGUGUUAGUUCAACUAGGAUCAAAUAAUAUAAAACGGAGAGAGUAUUUAUUAAAGCGCUAAGCAAUUAUUCCUUUUAAAUUCUCCUUUCGUUAUUUUUUUUACUUAUUCACUAAAUUAAACAAUAUAUUUUACUUGUUAGCAUAUCAUACUCUAUGCUUAACAUGAAAUACUUAUUUUUCAAAACUUAAAACCAGACAUAAAUUAACAUAUUGUUUUUAUCAAGGAUAGAUAUAGUCUAAACUGAACAAGUAAAAAGUAAUGGAUGAGUAUUUAAAUAGUAUAAUUAAUAAAUACCCUUUGAAAAGUCUUAUUCUUCUAUUUGCGUGUUGACUUUGAAAAGCUCAAUCUACAAAUCAUAUAUAAGCACAACCAAAUCCUCUAUUUUUUCAAACCAAUUCACUACUCAUCUAAAGUUUCAACGAAUCAAAGUUUCCUCUUUUUUUUUGGUCAUAUUUGUAACUUUCCUAUAAGGAUUGAUCUCCUUCUUAGAUUAAUCUUGAAAAUUUCCAAAAUAUACAAAUGGAAGAAAUUCAAGUACCUUCUUAUUUUAUUUGCCCCAUUUCACUUGAGAUGAUGAAAGAUCCUGUUACGAUCUCUACAGGAAUAACAUAUGAUCGAGAAAACAUUGAAAAAUGGGUAUUCUCUGAAAAGAACAACACUUGUCCGGCUACGAAACAGUCUCUUACAUGCAUAGAGUUGACCCCAAAUGUUACUCUUCGACGAUUAAUCCAAUCGUGGUGUACUAUCAAUGCGUCUCAUGGUAUUGAAAGGUUCCCUACACCAAAGCCUCCGGUAAGCAAACCACAAAUCAUAAAGCUCCUAAAAGAAGCGAAAUCGCCUAAAUUGCAAAUGAAAUCUCUCAAGAGACUCAGAUCCAUAGCUUCUGAGAAUGAUGCUAACAAACAUUGCAUGGAAUCUGCUGGGGCAAUGGAGUUUUUAGCUUCUAUUAUUAAUAAUAAUAAUUCGAAUGAAGUGUUUGAAGAAGAAGAAGAGGGUUUCAUGAGUACUAAAGACGAAGCGCUUAGCAUCCUCUAUCAACUCAAAUUAUCCGAACAAGGAUUGAAGUCACUCAUCAUGAGUGGAAAUGGAGAAUUCAUUGAGUCAUUGACACGUGUCAUGCAACAUGGGAGCUAUGAGUCUAGGGCUUACGCGGUUAUGCUAAUGAAAGACAUGUUUGAAGUAUCCACACCAACUUUACUUUUGAGUUUGAAACAAGAAUUCUUCACACAAGUUGUUCAAGUCUUGAGGGAUGAGAUCUCUCAAAAGGCUACAAAAGCAUCAUUGCAAGUGCUAGUGCACGCGUGUCCAUUUGGUAGGAACAGAGUGAAAGCAGCAGAAGCAGGAGCAAUUAGGGUUUUGGUUGAUCUUCUGCUCGAUUCAUCUGAGAAAAGGGUUUGUGAAUUGAUGCUAAUUUUACUAGAUCAACUUUGUCUGAGCGCAGAAGGGAGAGCUGAGCUAUUGAAUCAUCCUGGAGGAUUAGCCAUUGUGUCCAAGAAAAUACUUAGGGUUUCAAAAGUAGGGAGUGAAAGGGCAAUCAAGAUCUUACAUUCAAUCUCAAAGUUUUCAUCAACACCAAGUGUUGUUCAAGAGAUGUUGAGUUUGGGUGUGGUGGCAAAGCUUUGUUUGGUGCUUCAAGUUGAUUGUGGAAGUAAAUCUAAGGAAAGAGCUAGAGAAAUUCUCAAAUUUCAUGCUAAGGCAUGGAGUAAUUCUCCUUGUAUACCUAAUAAUUUACUAUCUUCAUAUCCAUUUUAGGAAUUAGGUAGAAAUGAUCAAAAAUUGCUUACUAGUGGAUUGUUUUUGUGUACAUAAUUUAUUCUUUUCAGAAAAUAGAAAAAAAAUGGACAAAAUGGUCCAUGAAAUUUAAUUGUUCAUAUAUAUCCAUCUUCAACAUUUUGAUUCCCUUUUAUUUUUGAGAGCUUAAUGCUCUAUUAUUUCAGUAAGAAGUCUAUGAUAGACAUUUUAUUUGUCACUUUUUUUUUUUUGAAAUUUAAUCUACAUAAACUAUGAUAGACAUUUAUUAUCAUACAUCUCAAAUUAUUUGUCAACUAUUUUUUUUAAAAAUUAAUCUACAUAAACUAUGAUAGACAUUUAUUAUCAUCAUAUGAAUAUGAAAAGAAUUGAAUCUUGUAGUAAUACUUUUUUUGUCUUAUUACUCCCUUUUCCAACAAUAGUUGUCCACUAUUGACUUGAGAUAGUGAUUAAGAAAUAGUAAAUGAUAGAGGUAAUUUUAGCAAAUCACCCCUAUUAAAUAUAAAUUAUCUAAAUAUAAAAAUGAAUAGUAUUUAAUAGCAAAGGUAAAAUAGAUAUAAAUGAUAAAUUAUAUUAUAAUGAUUUUAUAAACUGAACAAAUAUUGUUGGACAUUCAAAAAUAGUAUAAUAAACAAAUAAUGACGAAGGGAGUGAGUAUUGAAAAAUAAAAUUCAAUAGAAUAUAAUCUAACUAUUGUUGGAAAAAAUAUAUUCUUAUUCAUUAUCAAUGAUUUUUCUUAAUUUGCUAUAAUAGUCCUUUAGCUGUUGAAGGUUUUGACUACUUUAUUGUAUGAUAUUUUUCCAUAUAUAUAUAUCCUGAGAAUAAUGUUUUUCUUUUACAGUAAAGAACAUUAAAAAAAAUUCUGAUUCUCCCUUUUUUUUGUUGGGAUAUCCACUUUUUAAAAAAAUUGUAAUUUUUAGAGUUCCUAAUUUAAUUUUAUAUUAGAAGAGCUUGUUGAAUUCUGGCGAUACACUUAAAUCCGGUGAAAUAUUUUGAAGAACAAUGUCAAUAGGCAUGCCUCAAUAGCUUCGAAAAUUUCUGUGGUUUUCCAACAACUAUUAAUUUCGAUAAUUCUUUAAGCUCCAAGAAUUUCCAUGAUUUUGCAAUAUUUUCAAUAAAUAUUAAUUUCGAUAAUACUUCAAGCUUAGAGAAUUUCCAUGAUAUUUAAAUAUUUUCCAAUAACUAUUAAUUUUGAUAGUUCUUCAAACUUCAAUUUUUUUAGAUAUUUUGUAACAUCUCGCACUUAGAAACGACUAUAAAGAGUUUAAAAAUAUGAAAAUAUUGAUUUUUGGAAAGGAUAAGAAAAUCUGGAAUUUUUUGUCUAAGUUAAGAAGUGAGUUUUGGCCUUUUUCAAACGGCCAUAACUCCUAGUUCAAGAUGAGUUAGGAGCAGAUCUGGAUAUUGUUGGAAACCUCUUGGAAUAAUCUUUCCAACGCCGCCGAGUUUGCGCGAUUCCGAGUUUGUAUGAGUAAGUUAUUCCCUUUGGAAGUUGGGUUAUUGGAUUAAGGAAAGUCCAAAUCCGGAUUUGUGAGGGGUAAACUAGUCUUUUCCUUACCUAAUUUGCCUAUUUCGUUUUUAGAAAUUAAUUGGGGUAAAACAAGACUUUAUUCAGUUUUAAAAAAAUUAGAUUUUACACUAGGGCUUGGAGAGAAGAAGAAAGAAGAGAAAAGAGGAGAGAAAUCAAGAAAUCGCCAAGAACAUUCAAGCUUUGCGAGUGGAAUUCAUCGGGGGUGAUCCCUACUAAGGUAUGUGAGAUUUAUUUCAUGUUGGGUUAGUUCACCCACACACUAACUUGUUUCAAUUUAGCAAAAUUGGAGUUGUUUGAAUGUUAAGAAAGUGAAGUUCUUGAAGAACAUUGUUGAAUUCUUGUGGGUUGAUUGUUGAAUGCCUAGUAUUGAUUUGAUUCGUGUUUCCGGGUUGUCUUUCGAGUUAAAUCUAUCAUGUAUUGAGGGUAUAAAUGAUCCUAAGUGUUUGGGGAAAGGACCACUGAAGUUUAGAGGGUUUAGAGAUGAAAAACGAAGGAGAAAAGUCGGGGAUUUUCUGGGCAAGGGCUUGGGGCGCUGCGCCUGCCAGAGCGCCACAAAAGUUCCUCUGAACUUUGGCCUCUGGCGCGUCGGGCCAGCCAGAGAGCCACAGGCAGCCCUCUGAAGUUUGAGGGCUGGCGCCCCGCGCCUCUCAGAGCGCCAGGGAUACCAGUUCUCCCCAUUCGUUCCUCACCUUCUCGUACUUGUUCCUAAGUGAUGUACCUAUGUUUUCUAGUUAAUUUCAACAAUCUAAAGUACAUCUAAACACCAUGAAAUCAUCCAUAAACAUGAGAUCAUGAACCUUGAAUCCAUAAUUCAAUUCAAGGAAAGUUAAGUUCAAAGUCAAAGAAGUUAAGAGUCAAGUCUAGAAGUUAAAAAGCAAGUCAAAGCAAAGUUUCUUAAAGUUUCCAAGGGUCUUUAACCAUGUUUUAUCGUCGUUUUAAGACCUAAGUUUUGAAGUUAAGCAAAGAGUAAAGCUAUGGUUUGAAGUUCUUUCUUCAAAGAGAUAUAUGGGGACUAUGUAUUCCCAAAGGAGUUUUAAAGAGAUGUUUUCACAUUUAAACGAGAUCGGAAACUGAGAUUUCCAAAGAUGCCUUUGGGCUAGUUUUCAGAAAAGAAUAAUGGCUUUCUAAAUGAAGCAAGCAGGUGAAAAUGAGAAUUCCAAGAUAGCCUUUGAGCUAAGUUUUGAGCACUAGUCUCAAAUCAGCAGAAAGAAAUAUGUUUUAAAAACAUAAGAGCCAUUACAUUUUUUGGAGUAGUAUUGAGCACCGAAUUGGGGGAGCGUUCAAAGAACCCACAACCCCCAUAGAACUAUGUAGCCACCAUGGGUAGAAGAGGUUCAUACCUUUUAGAUGAAUCCUUUUCAAAUUAGACUAGUGGAUCCAUUAGGCAGCUCAGGUCCUAUACUUUUGGCCGGGUAUAGGAUGCUCUGGCAGCGUGAGGUUGAUCGUUGUAUCAUCACUAUAGCUCUUAUGUGAUGGUUGUCGGUUAGAGAAACUCCCACAGCAGUUAUUGUAUUUUUAUAUACACCAGUUCAUUUGUAUUUCUACAUACAUCUCAGAUUUAUAGUAUCUUUGCAUUCAUACAGAGUUUAUAGCAUGUUUUAAAAUAGCUUUUCUUUAUAUUGCACUUGUUUUAAAUUGCUUUAUAUUGAAAUGAGUCAGUCAGGUUGAGUUGAGUUGAGCCAGGUAAGUUAUUCAGUUUCUUUUAGAUUUCCUUCUAGCCUAUGUUGCUUAGCAUUUCAACUCACAUACUCGUACAUUCAAUGUGCUGAUGUCAGUUGGCCUGCAUCGUCUUAUGAUGCAGAUUCAGGUAAUCAGGAUCAACAUCCAGCGCCUCGUUGAUCCAGUUGAGCAGCUCAGAGUCAGUGGUGAGCCUCCUUGUGUUCCGGAGGACUCUUUUUAUUCACUUUCAGUCUUUCAUUUAUUAGGAUGUUGUGGGGUUUGUCCCAACAUCCAUUUCAGUAUUUUAGAGGUUUCAUGGACAGUUAGAUAGUUAGUAGUUCAGUAGUCUUUACAUUAUUCAUUCAGUUGUUGUUUAAAGACUAAGUUGCCAUUUUGGCUAAAAUGUUAUUUCCUUAAGUUAUUGUUUAAACUUAUUAUGUUGAGAAAUUCUUCUGUUGAGUUCAGAAAGUCAGGCCAAGGGUUCGCUUGGGACUAGCGAUGAUCUUCGAGUGCCAGUCCCGCCUAGGGUGUAGGCUCGGGGAAUGACAUAUUUUUCAACAACUAUUAAUUUCGAUAAUACUUUGAAAAUUUGUGGACAUGAGUGCAACAAGUCCGUCAAUCGAAAGAAGGAAGCAUCAAGUGGUUAAGCUUUGAAUAUUGUAAUUAAUUGGACUUUAAAAUUUAGCCACUUAUUUUGAUGAUCCAUGAAUUCUCCAAAAGACUUCAGAAAAAUAAAUGUAAAUUUGUGUGAACUUAGUUGACUUUUCUAAUUUAUUGAAUUCAUCAUUAAUUAAAUUGGAUAAUUUGACUUGGAAAUUCAAUAGUAUAUACUAUGAGCUCAUUUCAACUUGUACCAUUUCUUUUGUAGCUAUUUUAGAAAAGGAUGGCUAUCUGUCAAAGUGUUUGUUAGGAUCAACUUGUAAGUUAAUACUUCUCCGUCUUAAAUUAUUUAUUGUAUUGUUUAUGCACUUUUUAAAAAGAUAAUAACUAUAAGAAAUUUUGAUUAUUUUACUUUUAUUUAUAUCUUGUGAUAUAGUCUUUCUAUUCAUUGAAUAAAACCCCAUAAUAAGUUUUAUGUGAUUAUCUUUUUUUUUAAAAAUACUAUCAAGAGUAAAAUAAGAAAAAAAUUAAUUAAUUUUAUCUUGAACUGCUAAAAUUCUGAAUGAUUUGAGACAAUUACUUUUGAAAAUCAAUAACAAUAACAUACCUAAUGUAAUCCUACAAGUGAGAUUUGAAAAAGACAAGAUAGAACAUGAUAUACAUAAUUAGUCUAUCUUUAAGGGAUAGAGAAUGUAACACCCCAUAUUCUACGUGUACUAGUUCUAUUUAUAUGACGCUUAUAAAUUUUCGUGUGGUAUAGUUAUGGACUCGGUUUCCUAUGCAACUAGUGACAAUAGAAUAGGUUUAAAGUAAACUGUCCAUAGAUUUUGAUGCGACCCGAUUAAGUUGACGUCGAUGUAAGUAUUUAAACUUGAGAUCAUAAGGUGGUAUUUGAGUCUAAAGUUUAAAUUGACAUAGUGUAUAUAAGUUUUAAGUUAAAUUAAAGGUAUUAAGGUCGAUAAAUGGAAUAAGAUAUUGAGGUGCUUGAUUGACAGGUGCUGAUUGACUACACUAAUCUAGUAGGUACAUCACCUACUUUGACUUAUUGACUAGCCCAAGGGACCAAGUAGGUGCAUCAACUACUAAGACUCUUUCGAUCAUGUUAUUGGGCCAAGUGCACUACCACCUACUUGCAUUAAUCUGGCCCAAGUUGAUUAGAAGAAUAAGGGGAAAAUGGACAGCCAAGGCCCAAUCUUUCCAACCCACAAGAAAUAAUUUGAAUGGAAAAGUAGGUGCAUCACCUACUUAAAUGUGUGGCCUAAAUUAAAGACACAUGUUGGCUGAAAAUGAAGUACAAGAAAGGUGGCAAAAGCCCCAAUGUUCUUAAGUCCAAAAAGGCCCAAGUGAAAAGUCCAAGUAGGUGGGUCACCUAUUUGACAAAUUAUGGCCCAAAAUGAGUAAGAAAGUCGGCCAAAGCAGGUCCCUUUAAAAGGGAUAGAUAUCAGCUUUUACCAACCAUUUUUACUUUGACAAAAGAAUCUGAUUUCUAGAGCAUUCUCUCUUCUCUCUCUUAGCUUCAUACAACAGCCAUUAAAUACCAUUAGGGUUCUUGAACAUGAGGGAGUUCAAGCUAUUGGAAUGUAUAAUUUAAGGCAACAUUUUACCUUGAAGAAUCCAAGUCUUAGCAAGUGGUAGUUCUGUCCAGCAAGGUAAGCUACUGCAAUUUUCUCCCUCUUGUGCUUGAGUAAAUUAGGACACUUGGUAUGUGUUAGUGAGUUGGAAAUUGUUACUUUUACAUGGUGUAAUAUUUGGGAGGUUGUUCUGGUGAUUAGUGCAUGUUGGGACAUCUAUGGAGGGGAGUCCUCUUUAAAUUCAGUUAUGAGCUUGUUUGAGCACUUUAAAAGUAAUGUUAGCUCUUCAAGUGUUGGUGAUCAGAAACCAUGAUCAUAUUGCUUCUGUUACAUUAUUAUGUUUAAGGAUUGCUUUAUGUAUGUUAUGAUAAGGGAUGUGAAUGGAUGUGCGGGAAAGUUAUGGAGACGUUAAAUGACUUAAAUAUUGCAGGGAGUUUUGGGGAGGACCUGAUACGAAGGUUGUACGGUAUAUAGACACGAUUAAAGGGAAAGGGAAGGAAAGAAAACACUGGCUAGAUAAAUUGCAUGCUUACUGCUUGGUUACUAUUUGGGUGAGAUCAAGUAGCUCAAAUUGAUUGAUUAGCUACUAAUACUAGUCUUACAACUUAUUUUAAUUGUAGAUUAGUAACCUAAAGAGAAGGAGCUUAAGUCAUACGUAUUGAAUUGUAUAGCAAGGUAUGUAAGGAUAUUCGAUUUCCAAUUUCUUCUACAUGAAUCCAAUACUUGUAAUACAAAGUAAGCUCUCUAAGUGCCCUUGGUAGUGACUGAUCCAUAGUUGCAGUUCCUACUCCCUAGAGCAGUAAAGUGAGUACUCUAAUAUGAGAUUGUUACUAAAUGUACGUGCUUACUCUACCAAGUAUUAGCAUGCAAGGUUUAAACUACUUUCUCUAUUGUACAUUUUAUAUGUACUUACUUGGAAUAUGUAUCCGUCCUAAAGUUAAAUCUACCCACGUUCUCCCUUGGUUUCACAUUCACGUAUACCUUGUAUUUGAUAUUAGUUAGUGAGUAUUUGACUAUCAUAUAGAGUUCAAAUCUCUUGGCUGAAUGUUAAAUGUCUUCACUUGAUAUGUGCUUCAAUUUGAAAUGUCAAAAUGCUUACUGAGUCAUAUAAGCUCUUAAGUAUUACACGUUCAUGUCUACAUUUGCUUCCCAUGUCAUUGUUAUUAUCGUAACUCCAUAUUCAUAUGUCUUCUACUACUGGUCCAUAGUUCCAAAUCUCAACAAUGAUUAUGACCACCAAAACAACAAUCUCAAAAGAGUUAUGGACAUCAAAACAAUAAUCUCAAAGAUUAAAGAGCCUAAGUGAAGCAAUAUGUAUAAUUAUGGGUGGCAGCCCAGGGGCAAAUGCCUAGCAUGGGUCGAUCCCAAUUGGUAUAGAAUGGUGGCAGCUCAGGGGCGAAAGCCUAGCAUGAGACGAUCCCAAUUGGUAUAAGAAGGUGGCAGCUCAGGGGUAAAAGUCUAGCAUGGGCCGAUCCCAAUUUGUGAAAUUAUGAGGACAGCAUCCCAGGGGUUAAAAUGUCUAGCAUGGGUCAUCCUCUUCUACCGCUGAUCAGCUGGUCAUUUGUAUCAUAUGUCUUAUAAUUAUUAUAAUGCAAAGAAAAGUAAAGAAAAUAAUGUAACAUACACGAUUCCACAAGUAUAAGCAAAGGUGGUAUGUAAUCCUUAUCUAUUGGUAUUUGAUUUCACUUGAGCUCUCAUUUUACAUAUGGUUUUAUUAUGCCUUACAUAUUCAGUACAUUCUUUCGUACUGACGUCCCUUAUUGGGGACGCUGCAUUUCAUGCUGCAGGUACAAGUACUCAACUAGUAGAUCUCCCCAAUAGAAGCACAAGAUACUCAAUGGUUGUUGGUGAGCUCCAGGUUGAUUCGGGACUUUGCCGAGUCUUUACUAUGGUUAUUUCAUAGUGGUACAAUCAUGGAUUCCAGUAGAGGCUUUGUAGACAUUGUAAAGCUAUCAUCUGAAUUCAUAGUUUCACUUGUCACAUGUAUCGGUUCAGCUAGUCAACAUGUGUUGUAUAUGAAGCUUCUCAUUAGUAAAUAUAUCUGCAUAGUAGUAGUUUACUUUCUCAUCAUAGGUUACUUGUAAAGCAUGUGUUCAUAUGGUACUUGUCCGCCUCACCUAGGGUUAGGGUGUGACAGAGAAGUUAUUCUAAUAGGACUCGAGACAAAUUUGUAAUAAGACAACAAAAUAAUAAGAUACAAAUCAAAUACAACAACCUAUAAUAAUACACAUCAAAAUUCAUCAUUCAAGAAAAAUAAUGUUUGUAUUUUUUUUAUAUAUAUAUAUAAGUGUAUUUUUCUCAAUAUUCCGAGAGAAAAAAUGCACACAAUAUUAUUGACCCUUGUUAAAUUCCUCGAGCUAAACUAUAUACAGAUACAUUUCUCUGUAACAAAUCACUCUCUAUAAUGAUAUUUUAUUAUAAAUUAAUUAUUUUUUAUAAUAACAUUUUAUUAUAAUAAUAGAAAUAUUACAUCGUUAAAAAAGUUUGAUUACCACCCAAAUGUAUUGCCUAAUGAUCAAUAAAGUGAGUUAAGCAUCAUGAGGUCUCAUCAAAUUAAAUAUCAGCAGAAACAAAAUAUUAGGUGAUUUGUUUUCAUAUGUUCUAACUUUGGUGAACAAAAUUACUUCAUACAUGUUGUUGAUGGAAGAUAAUAUGUACUCUAUAAAAUUAACCGAGAUACGUGCAAACUGGCUUGAAUACCACGAUUAUAAUAAAAUAAAAACAGUUUGAUUGGAAUGCUUCAAUUAGUACCUAUUCUUAACUGCCAACUAGUGCAACAUGAAAUAAAAAUAACCUAUUGAAAAUUUCUUUGAAAUUUUGAGUACUCAAAAGAAAAUUUCAAUUAAAACCUGGUCUUAACUACCAACUGCAACAUGAACUAUAAAUAACCUGUUGAAAAUUUCAUGCAAAUUUUCACUACUCAAAAAAAAAAAAAAAAAAAAAAUAAUACGUAAGAAAUAAAUAAAAAGACAAGAGAAUUGGUAAAGGUCAAAAUGGUGAAGAACUAGUAACUUUGUGCAAGUCUUUUAUUUUUAUUAAAAUUCAUUAAAUAUUUAUAGUUAUAUAAUUGUGAACUAAGAUACUAUUGUGUAUUAACUUAGAGAGUAGAGACUACUGUACGAAUAUAUAAAUUUCAAAUUUUUAAUCCUCCUAAUAUAAAUCGCAGUUGAUAAGGAAAAUUAAACAAUAACCAAAACCCAUCAUCAGCAUUAUUUUAUAUUAAAAAUAUAUUUUACAUGGUGUCUGCAUUGGAGCCCCGAUUAAAUAUGUAUCAUGCAUUGCAGGUUCCAUUUUGGGGGUGGAGCUUUCAACAUAAUUUUUUUCAUACCCAAGGCUUGAACCCGAGACAUCAAAUUAAUAGUGGAGCAGUUCCACCAUUAUACCUAAUAUUAAUUUUAUUUCAAAUGAUUUAACCUUAAAAGUUUUCUUUAUACUCAUCAGAGAUAACAUUAUUUUUAUAAUAACAUAAAUUAAAUAUAUAAUAUAUUUUAAAAUUUCAUGUUUAAUCAAAUUAAUAACGUGAAUAAAAAAUUAAAAGCAAGUCUUGUCGGCAGUCUUUAUUUACACUAAUAAAACACGAGUUUAUAAUACAUAAAAUAAAACGACUCCUAAUAUAAAUCGCAGUUGAUAAGGAAAAUUAAACAAUAACCAAAACCCAUCAUCAGCAUUAUUUUAUAUUAAAAAUAUAUUUUACAUGGUGUCUGCAUUGGAGCCCCGAUUAAAUAUGUAUCAUGCAUUGCAGGUUCCAUUUUGGGGGUGGAGCUUUCAACAUAAUUUUUUUCAUACCCAAGGCUUGAACCCGAGACAUCAAAUUAAUAGUGGAGCAGUUCCACCAUUAUACCUAAUAUUAAUUUUAUUUCAAAUGAUUUAACCUUAAAAGUUUUCUUUAUACUCAUCAGAGAUAACAUUAUUUUUAUAAUAACAUAAAUUAAAUAUAUAAUAUAUUUUAAAAUUUCAUGUUUAAUCAAAUUAAUAACGUGAAUAAAAGAUUAAAAGUAAGUUGUCCUGUCGGCAGUCUUUAUUUACACUAAUAAAACACGAGUUUAUUAUACAAAAAAUAAAACUAAAUAUAUAUUAUUUUUAUUUUGUACUUUAUAGAUAGAAAAAGUCAAAAUGUGUUCACUUUUUUUCCUACGUAUACAUGUAACUUGGCCUAUUUAAUUUGCCGUGUUUAAUUUUGACUUUAAAAACCUCUUUCCAAUAUUCUCAACUUAUAUAUAUAUAACCAUAAAAGCUUAAACUUCUUCAUCUACUCAAAAUAACAAAAAAAUAUUCUCUUGUUCUUAAUUUCUCCUUCUUUGAUUAAUCUUGAAAUUUUCCAAAAUAUACAAAUGGAAGAAAUCCAAGUACCUCCUUAUUUUAUUUGCCCGAUUUCUCUAGAGAUGAUGAAAGAUCCAGUCACGAUCUCGACUGGAAUAACAUAUGAUCGAGAAAACAUCGAAAAAUGGAUAUUCUCGGCAAAGAACAACACUUGUCCGGCUACGAAGCAGUCUCUUACAUGCAUAGAGUUGACCCCAAAUGUCACUCUUCGGAGAUUUAUCCAAUCGUGGUGUACUAUCAAUGCGUCCCAUGGUAUUGAAAGGUUCCCUACACCAAAACCUCCGGUUAGCAAACCACAAAUAAUAAAGCUCCUAAAAGAAGCAAAAUCGCCUAAGAUGCAAAUGAAAUCUCUCAAGAGACUCAGAUCCAUAGCUUCUGAGAAUGAUGCUAACAAACGUUGCAUGGAAUCCGCGGGGGCAACAGAGUUCUUAGCUUUUAUUAUUAAUAAUUCGAAUGAAGUGUUUGAAGAAGAGGGUUUCAUGAGUACUAAAGACGAAGCGCUUAGCAUCCUCUAUCAACUCAAAUUAUCCGAACAAGGGUUGAGGUCACUCAUCAUUAGUGGCAAUGGAGAAUUCAUUGAAUCUUUGACACGUGUCAUGCAACAUGGGAGCUAUGAGUCUAGGGCUUACGCGGUUAUGCUAAUGAAAGACAUGUUCGAAGUAUCCACACCAAAUCUACUUUUGAGUUUGAAGCAAGAAUUCUUCAUACAAGUGGUUCAAGUCUUAAGGGAUGAGAUCUCUCAAAAGGCUACAAAAGCAUCAUUGCAAGUGCUAGUGAACACGUGUCCAUUUGGGAGGAACAAAGUGAAAGCAGCAGAGGCAGGAGCAAUUAGGGUUUUGGUAGAUCUUCUGCUCGAUUCAUCUGAAAAAAGG
rnacentral:lncRNA from 1 species